ensembl:ncRNA K08E3.13 ncRNA
UUUGCAACAUGGGGUCCGAGACGGACGCGCCUCUUCAUGAUUAGCAUGAUUUUCAUCACUACAGAGCUCACUUUAAAGAAAUUUGUUAGCAUUUUUUACACGUACCGCUUUGAUUCCUGCCUCUAUAAACGUGUGUGGUCUCAUUGCGAUGUCA